UGGAUAUUAGCAUAAAUAUUUUAAUGCGAAAUAAUUGUUAAUUAUUUGAUAUUGUUUUUAUGUUCAAAGUUUUUAG
rnacentral:tRNA from 1 species